UACGGAGGAUCCGAGCGUUAUCCGGAUUUAUUGGGUUUAAAGGGUGCGUAGGCGGUUUGAUAAGUUAGAGGUGAAAUGUCGGGGCUCAACCCCGAAACUGCCUCUAAUACUGUUGGACUAGAGAAUAGUUGCGGUAGGCGGAAUGUAUGGUGUAGCGGUGAAAUGCUUAGAGAUCAUACAGAACACCGAUUGCGAAGGCAGCAUACCAAACUAUAUCUGACGUUGAGGCACGAAAGCGUGGGUAGCAAACAGG
rnacentral:rRNA from 1 species